rnacentral:rRNA from 1 species
CAGCCGCCGCGGUAAUACGUAGGGUGCAAGCGUUAAUCGGAAUUACUGGGCGUAAAGCGUGCGCAGGCGGUUUGUUAAGACAGAUGUGAAAUCCCCGGGCUCAACCUGGGAACUGCAUUUGUGACUGGCAAGCUAGAGUGUGGCAGAGGGGGGUGGAAUUCCGCGUGUAGCAGUGAAAUGCGUAGAUAUGCGGAGGAACACCGAUGGCGAAGGCAGCCCCCUGGGCCAACACUGACGCUCAUGCACGAAAGCGUGGGGAGCAAACAGGAUUAGAUACCCCAGUAGUCCCUGUCUCUUAUAC